rnacentral:rRNA from 1 species
CAGCCGCCACGGUAAAACGGAGGGUGCAAGCGUUAAUCGGAAUUACUGGGCGUAAAGCGCACGCAGGCGGUCUGACAAGUCAGAUGUGAAAUCCCCGGGCUUAACCUGGGAACUGCAUUUGAAACUGUCAGACUGGAGUCUUGUAGAGGGGGGUAGAAUUCCAGGUGUAGCGGUGAAAUGCGUAGAGAUCUGGAGGAAUACCGGUGGCGAAGGCGGCCCCCUGGACAAAGACUGACGCUCAGGUGCGAAAGCGUGGGGAGCAAACAGGAUUAGAUACCCGCGUAGUCCCUGUCUCUUAUAC